rnacentral:pre_miRNA from 1 species
CUUGUACUCCCUCUGUCCGAAAAUACUUGUCAUUGAAAUGGAUGUAUCUAGAUGUAUUUUAGUUCUAGACACAUCCAUUUUGAUGACAAGUAAUUCCUGACGGAGGGAGUACUUG